rnacentral:rRNA from 1 species
GACGAACGCUGGCGGCGUGCUUAACACAUGCAAGUCGAACGAAGUGGCGAACGGGUGAGUAACGCGUAAUCAACCUGCCCUUCAGAGGGGGACAACAGUUGGAAACGACUGCUAAUACCGCAUACUGAAGGAGGGGAUUGCGUCUGAGUAGCUAGUGGGAGGGGGAACGGCCCACAAAGGCGAUGAUCAGUAGCCGUACUGUGAUGAUGAACGGCCAAAUUGGGAAUGAGACACGGACCAGACAGCUAAGGGAGGCAGCAGUGGGGAAUCUUCCGAAAUGGACGAAAGACUGACGGAGCAACGCCGCGAGAGUGAUGACGGCCUUCGGGUUGUAAAGCUCUGUUAAUCGGGACGCGGUACCGGAAUAGAAAGCCACGGCUAACUACGUGCCAGCAGCCGCGGUAAUUC